rnacentral:rRNA from 1 species
GAUGAACGCUGGCGGCGUGCCUAAUACAUGCAAGUCGAGCGAACAGACGAGGAGCUUGCUCCUCUGACGUUAGCGGCGGACGUGUGAGUAACACGUGGAUAACCUACCUAUAAGACUGGGAUAACUUCGGGAAACCGGAUCUAAUACCGGAUAAUAUAUUGAACCGCAUGGUUCAAUAGUUAAAUACGGUUUUUCUGUCACUUAUAGAUGGAUCCGCGCCGCAUUAGAUAGUUGGUAAGGUAACGGCUUACCAAGGCAACGAUGCGUAGCCGACCUGAGAGGGUGAUCGGCCACACUGGAACUGAGACACGGACCAGAAUCCUACGGGAGGCAGCAGUAGGGAAUAGUCCGCAAUGGGCGAAAGCAUGACGGAGCAACGCCGCGUGAGUGAUGAAGGUCUUCGGAUCGUAAAACUCUGUUAUUAGGGAAGAAAAAAUGUGUAAGUAACUAUGCACGUAUUGACGGUACCUAAUCAGAAAGCAACGGCUAACUACGUG